rnacentral:rRNA from 1 species
AGCUCCAAUAGCGUAUAUUAAAGUUGCUGCGGUUAAAAAGCUCGUAGUUGGAUCUCAGUUACGGGCGGGUGGUUCGCCUCACGGCGCUACUACCCGGACCGGACCUACCGCUGGUUCCUCCGAGGUGCCCUUCGCUGGGUGCCCCGGGAGACCAGAGCGUUUACUUUGAAAAAAUUGGGGUGCUCAAAGCAGGCGAAUGCCUGAACAGUCGUGCAUGGAAUAAUGGAAGAGGGCCUCGGUGCCAUUUUGUUGGUUCUCGGUGCUCGAGGUAAUGGUUGAAAGGGACAGACGGGGGCAUUCGUAUUGCGACGUUAGAGGUGAAAUUCUUAGAUCGUCGCAAGACGGACUACUGCGAAAGCAUUUGCCAAGAAUGUUUUCA